AGUGAACGCUGGCGGUAGGCCUAACACAUGCAAGUCGAACGGCAGCACAGUAAGAGCUUGCUCUUACGGGUGGCGAGUGGCGGACGGGUGAGGAAUACAUCGGAAUCUACUUUUUCGUGGGGGAUAACGUAGGGAAACUUACGCUAAUACCGCAUACGACCUACGGGUGAAAGCAGGGGAUCUUCGGACCUUGCGCGAUUGAAUGAGCCGAUGCCGGAUUAGCUAGUUGGCGGGGUAAAGGCCCACCAAGGCGACGAUCCGUAGCUGGUCUGAGAGGAUGAUCAGCCACACUGGAACUGAGACACGGUCCAGACUCCUACGGGAGGCAGCAGUGGGGAAUAUUGGACAAUGGGCGCAAGCCUGAUCCAGCCAUACCGCGUGGGUGAAGAAGGCCUUCGGUUUGUAAAGCCCUUUUGUUGGGAAAGAAAAGCAGCAGGUUAAUACCCCGCUGUUCUGACGGUACCCAAAGAAUAAGCACCGGCUAACUUCGUG
rnacentral:rRNA from 1 species